rnacentral:rRNA from 1 species
GACGAACGCUGGCGGCGUGCCUAACACAUGCAAGUCGAGCGAUGAAGUUCCUUCGGGAACGGAUUAGCGGCGGACGGGUGAGUAACACGUGGGCAACCUGCCUUAUAGAGGGGAAUAGCCUUCCGAAAGGAAGAUUAAUACCGCAUAAGAUUGUAGCUUCGCAUGAAGCAGCAAUUAAAGGAGCAAUCCGCUAUAAGAUGGGCCCGCGGCGCAUUAGCUAGUUGGUGAGGUAACGGCUCACCAAGGCGACGAUGCGUAGCCGACCUGAGAGGGUGAUCGGCCACAUUGGGACUGAGACACGGCCCAGACUCCUACGGGAGGCAGCAGUGGGGAAUAUUGCACAAUGGGGGAAACCCUGAUGCAGCAACGCCGCGUGAGUGAUGACGGCCUUCGGGUUGUAAAGCUCUGUCUUUUGGGGACGAUAAUGACGGUACCCAAGGAGGAAGCCACGGCUAACUACGUG